rnacentral:rRNA from 1 species
GAUGAACGCUGGCGGCGUGCCUAAUACAUGCAAGUCGAGCGAACAGAUGCGGCGCUUGCUCCUCUGACGUUAGCGGCGGACGUGUGAGUAACACGUGGAUAACCUACCUAUCAGACUGGGAUCACUUCGGGAAACCGGAGCUUAUACCGGAUAAUAUAUUGAUCCGUAUGGUUCAAUAGUGAAAGACGGUUUUGCUGUCACUUAUAGCUGGAUCCGCGCCGCAUUAGCUAGUUGUUAAGGUCACGGCUUACCAAGGCAACGAUGCGUAGCCGACCUGAGAGGGUGAUAGGCCGCGCGGGAGCUGGAACACGGACAAGACGCCUAAGGGAGGCAGCAGUAGGGAAUGUUCCGCAAUAGGCGAAAGCCUGACGGAGCAACGCGGCGUGAGUGAUGAAGGUGUUCGGAGCGGAAAACUGGGCUAUUAGGGAAGAACAAAUGUGGAAGUAACUAUGCACGUCGUGACGGUACCUAAUCAGAAAGCAACGGCUAACUACGUG